UGCGUAGGUGGCAAGCGUUGUCCGGAUUUACUGGGCGUAAAGAGCGCGCAGGCGGUCGUGCAAGUCGCGUGUGAAAGCCCCCGGCUCAACUGGGGAGGGUCACGCGAUACUGCUCGACUCGAAGGCAGGAGAGGGAAGUGGAAUUCCCGGUGUAGUGGUGAAAUGCGUAGAUAUCGGGAGGAACACCAGUGGCGAAGGCGACUUCCUGGCCUGUUCUUGACGCUGAGGCGCGAAAGCUAGGGUAGCAAACGGG
rnacentral:rRNA from 1 species